UACGGAGGAUGCGAGCGUUAUCCGGAUUUAUUGGGUUUAAAGGGUGCGUAGGCUGGUAAUUAAGUCAGUGGUGAAAUACCCCGGCUCAACCGGGGGGCUGCCGUUGAUACUGGUUACCUUGAGUUUAGAUGAUGUGGGCGGAAUGUGUCAUGUAGCGGUGAAAUGCAUAGAUAUCACGAGGAACUCCGAUUGCGCAGGCAGCUUACUAAACCAUAACUGACGCUCAGGCACGAAGGCGUGGGGAUCAAACAGGAUUAGAUACCCCGGUAGU
rnacentral:rRNA from 1 species